ensembl:lncRNA
CUAGCAGACACUUAUCCAGAGCCACUUACAGUGCAUACAACUAAGGUAGCUAAACAAUUACAUUUCACAGUCAUACACUCCCACAGUUUUAAUUUGAAGAACCCCUAAAGGACACUCCAGGAACCUUUUCAUUUUUAGAGUGGAGAAAGUCAAAUGUUUCUGUAACCCAUACUGAGAAGUUAAAGAGUUCUGUUGGUGGUGUCAGAAAACUUUGAACAUGUUCACUGCCAAUUCUAAAGCGUUUGAAAAGGCUAAGAGGCGUUUGGUGACCGUGUUUGGUGAAGGACAUAACCAAGUAGGUGAACUCUCUCUGUUAAUUUCUCUCCAUGUCUCCCCUUUCUCUUGGUCUCUCUCUAUCUCUCUUUGUUUUUGCUGUAUGUGUGUGUGUGUGUGUGUGUGUGUGUGUGUGUGUGUGUGUGUGUGGUGUGUGUGUGUGUGUGUGUGUGUGUGUGUGUGUGUGUGUGUGUGUGUGUGUGUGUGUGUGUGGUGUGUGUGUGUGUUGUGUGUGUGUUGGUGUGUGUGUGAGUCUGUUCCUCUCUGUCUGUUGUGUUGUGGGAGGGGGAGGCGGUCCACUGGCUAGCCAUAUAAUUGAACCUGAUAAAUAUAGUGGUUUCCUGUGUUGGGGUUGAGAGCUAGCCAGUGGGCUGUAGCCAGUGUGAAAGCAAUGCCAGAUGAGGUGUGAAUUGUGAACCAAAGGGAACAUAAGAGAGUUUCACACAUCGCUUUGCAGAGAGAUGGAAAGUGAAAGAGAUAAGAGUGGGAGAGAGAGAAAUCAAGAAGAAAUAAAAGGAGACAGCCAAUAGGAGGAGAUUGCGAAAAAGGGGUUGUUGACAGACAGCGAAUCGGAAACCUUGUUGUGUAUAUGCUUAACAUUGACUGGUUGCCUCUUCAGAUUUGGCUAUUUUCACCUGGCAAAGAUGGACAAAGGCAGCAUGGGCCCCAAGAAGACUUUCGUGUCCACUUUUCGGAUGGAUUUUAAGCCUGCCGCCCCUCAGCAGUUUGUGUUGAAGGGGAUCAAGAAUGAGCUGGAGGACAGGGACACUGCUCGGGGGGGUAGCAGCAAGCAGGGAACCAUAUCAACAGGUAAGGAAUCAGUUUGAACUAUUUUUAAUAGUUUACUGUUGUCAUCAAUCAAAUAUUUCUGUCUCUUGAAGAACGGGAUUCAGACCUUCUUUAAAAAUAGCAUAGUGCUUUAUCGUGGCAAUGGUAGUAAUUAUUUUAGUCAUCAUUUUGUAGUUAUGUGGACGCUUUUGGGCAUUGGUCCUAUGUGAAUCUCAGUGAUUGAACUCAAGCAUCUGACCCUCAAUGAUCAUCCGAAACCUAAUUAGCAUAUGAUUCCGAGGUGUUUGCCUGACUCUGAGGUAAGCAAGCCCCUAGACUAGUGCUGGAUGUUUGUUGUUAUUAUCCUACCUUGCUGUAUGGCCAGAAGGCUCUUUUUUGUUUUGUUGAUUUGACAAUAUCAACAUGUUCAAAGGCAUUUGUGUAUCUAUACAACUGAACCACUUAUAAAAUGUUCUAAUAAUUCCAGUUAUAAUUAUUACAUGUUUGAAUGCAUGAGCCUAUUGCCAAAACAUUGGUGACGUAAAAUAAAUAACACCUCUUUAGAGGUUCAAGCCAGCAAAGCUGCCUUAUAUUUAAAUCUAAAAAGGUGUCACGUCCUGGCCUUAGUUCCUUUUUUUAUGUUUCUAUUUUAGGUUGGUCAGGGUAUGAGUUGGGGUGGGCAUUCUAUGUUUUGUUCUAUGUUUGUAUUUUUAUGUGUUUGGCCUGGUAUGGUCUCCAAUCAGAGGCAGCUGUCAAUCGUUGUCUCUGAUUGAGAACCAUACUUAGGCAGCCUGGUUUCGCCCUUGAGUUGUGGGUAGUUGUUUUCUGUCUUGUAACAGACAGGACUGUUUCGUUUGUUCCUUUUUGUUAUUUUUGUUCUAGUGUUCAGUGUAAUUAAAAGAUCAUGAACACGUACCACGCUGCACCUUGGUCCUUCUCUCUUCCACCUACGAUGAUCGUUACAGAGCUACCCACCACAACCGGACCAAGCAGCGUGGUAACCAGGAGCAGAGGGUUCUGGACUCCUGGACAUGUGAGGAGAUUUUGGAUGGUAAGGGACCCUGGGCACAGGCUGGGGAAUAUCGCCGCCCCAGGGAAGAGCUGGAGGCAGCUUAAGCGGAGCGGCGGCGAUAUGAGGAGUUGGCACGGCAGCGCAACAGGCACGAGAGGCAGCCCCAAAACUUUCUUGGGGGAGGGCACACGGGGAGUGUGUCUAAGUCAGGUAGGAGACCUGAGCCAACUC